rnacentral:lncRNA from 1 species
AAUAGUGAAAGUGAGGACACAAAAUCAUAACAAAGUGGUGAAGAGACUGAAAUACCAGUGCAUGAAGCCUAUGAUAACAACAGUAGUGAGGAAGUGCAACCUGUGUCUCCAUUUAAAAAGAAAAAGAAAAAAUAGAUGCCACGAAUUGUCAGUGGAAAGGUCAAGUACCUACCAAUGAACAUGAACUUCAUAGUAAUAUUAAUUUCAAAAGAGCCAACAAGGAAAUGUAUCAAGCU